rnacentral:rRNA from 1 species
UACGGGGGGGGUAAGCGUUGGUCGGAAUUACUGGGCGUAAAGGGCUCGUAGGCGGCCAACUAAGUCAGACGUGAAAUCCCUCAGCUUAACUGGGGAACUGCGUCUGAUACUGGAUGGCUUGGAUUCGGGAGAGGAAUGCGGAAUUCCAGGUGUAGCGGUGAAAUGCGUAGAUAUCUGGAGGAACACCGGUGGCGAAGGCGGGUCUCUGGGUAGUAACUGACGCUGAGGAGCGAAAGCGUGGGGAGCGAACAGG